UCCCCUCCCCCUUCCCUCCCGAGAGCCUGAACUGCACGGGAAUCGGGAACAGAGGAAGGCAUCCUUUCCUUCUACAACACUUCCUGUUGUUCACGGUUUAUUUACUGGAUAAAUGUUUAUCCAGGCUCUAUUGUCCGCUAAGCCCCACGGUUGGCUCCGGAAACAACAGCGGUAUGGAAGGCAGAAUGCUGCCCUCCAGUCACCUACUUCCUAGUCAACAAAGUGACUUCUGGAAGUGCAGCUGUCUUGCUGAGGAGAAACAGAUCUGCCCGGAUCAAGGAAGACUUGACGUGAGAAAUGCCAAGCCAGGAGCAAUGCUAACUCUGACGGAGGAAACACAUACGAAGCCCAGAGACAGUGGACAGUUCACCAUGUCUAAGGAAGAAAGACCAGCAUGGCUGGAGGAGAGGCAUGGGAGCAGUGGGGAAUGUGGCCUUAACAGACCUCCCCAGCCAUUGUAGAGCUCGAUGUCGCCUGCGAGGACCCAGGGUUAUUUUUGCCUACCAUCAUUUCAUCCCACUCCUCCCAGACAAAGCUCUCCUGUGAGUCAUCUGGGGAACCCGGAGGCACUUGACGGCUGCUCAGCUGGUAUCUGGCCAUUCAGGAGGGAAGUAUUAAGAUUCCCUUGCACUUGGUUGGAGAAACAACACAAAUUUGUAAGCUGCUCAACAUUCAAGAAUCUAGAAUAUACAUCUAUGAUAAAUGCUUAGUAGGUGUAUGUCUGUUUAUUUUCACAAAUUCAGUAAAUAUUUGGGGACUAUGUACCAGACACUGUCUCAGGUUCUACACACACAACAGUGUAUAAAACCACACAGCCGCCCUUCUGUGGGGUUUGUCUUGGAUCACACAGCAGCACCCCGUCUUCAAGGCCUUGCUUUCCAUAGUCUCAGUUACCUAGUGUUGACUACAGUCCAAAAAAGUAUUAAAGGGAAAAGCCCAGAAACAGUGGAUGCGUUUUAAACUGCACGCUGUUCUGAACGUCAUGAAAUCUAGGCUGGCCUCAUGUGAGUUCUCUCUUUCUCCGGAGUAUCCGCGCAGUAUAUGCUCCCAUCUGGUAAUCUCUUAAUGCCUGUCUGGGUUAUCAGACAGAGAAAUAAAACAACCCGUAUCUAAUGGACUCAGUACUUCGCAGACAUCUACUCUAGGUCUUGGAUGUGUUCCCAGUGGGUGAGGAGGAGCAGUGAUUUCUGAAUGUGUACUUGCGGGUCAGGUGUUGGCAGAGGAGACAGCCAUGUAAUCAGAUAGGUGAAAUGAAAUAUAACAGGGACUUGGUGGAGGUGAAUCUGCACCGGGGUACGAUAAGGCAUGAAGAAGGAAGAGUCCUAAGCAGGCAAGCCAAUGAGGUAUUCAAUUGUGGGUGCCACUUUCCAGGUCACUAAGGGGAAGCUGUUGUGGGUUGAAACUAAACUCCACAAAAUUCAUACGUUUAGGGAUCCUAACAUGUGACCUUUCUCGGUUCCCCUUUCCUUUGGACUUUGGAAGUCUAGGUCAUAUUUGCCCCACUAGUUCAUUUUGAAAACGUGUAAUGCAUGGUCUAGUUUCAUAGUUGGAGAGAAACUUUCACUCAGGGAGAUCCAUACUUGAAGUUUAUCCAACACACGAUUUAGGUGAGCUAUUGAACUUACAGUUGAUACAGGAAAGAGUUAGGAUAUCUGUGGUUGUGAGAAUGGGCUGAAUAUAUUUGCCUAUGACAAUUACAUUUUGGGAGGUCAGGAGGAGGCACAUUACACAGUCUGAACAGAGGUCCCCCAAAAGUUACAUGUUACCGUCCAAUCCCUAGAACCUACCUAAGAUUCUGGGUGUCUUUAAGGACGUAAUCAUGCUAAAAUGAGGUCACUGGUAAGGGUGGGAACCUUAUGAAGAGGACAACAGGAUACAAAGACACAACGGGAGGUCUAUGUGAAGACAAAGGAGAAAACGUCCACCUACAAGUCAACCAGAGAAUCCUUGGAGGAAGGACCAAAUCCAACUCCUUGAUCUUGACUCCUGGCCUCCAGAAUUAUUGAAAACUAAUUCUCAAUUCUUGUCACCUAGUCUGUGGCACUUUAUCAGCCCUAAUAAACCAAUGGAGUGUUCUAGUUUCAUUUCUAUUGGUAUGAGAAAACUUCCUGACGAAAAGCAACUAAGGAGAGAAAGGGUUGACAACUCAGUUAGAACCCAUUGCAACAGAGCAGAAGUUAAGGACCAUCGCAUCACACCCAUCGUCAGAAACAGCGAAAAAAGUAUAUCUAUGUCGCCUGCUUCCUCUCAU